rnacentral:rRNA from 1 species
UACGUAGGGUGCAAGCGUUGAUCGGAAUUACUGGGCGUAAAGCGUGCGCAGGCGGUUUUGUAAGUCUGACGUGAAAUCCCCGGGCUCAACCUGGGAAUUGCGUUGGAGACUGCAAGGCUAGAAUCUGGCAGAGGGGGGUAGAAUUCCACGUGUAGCAGUGAAAUGCGUAGAGAUGUGGAGGAACACCGAUGGCGCAAGGGCAGCCCCCUGGGUCAAGAUUGACGCUCAUGCACGAA